AGUGAACGCUGGCGGUAGGCCUAACACAUGCAAGUCGAACGGCAGCACAGUAAGAGCUUGCUCUUACGGGUGGCGAGUGGCGGACGGGUGAGGAAUACAUCGGAAUCUACUUUUUCGUGGGGGAUAGCGUAGGGAAACUUACGCUAAUACCGCAUACGACCUACGGGUGAAAGCAGGGGAUCUUCGGACCUUGCGCGAUUGAAUGAGCCGAUGUCGGAUUAGCUAGUUGGCGGGGUAAAGGCCCACCAAGGCGACGAUCCGUAGCUGGUCUGAGAGGAUGAUCAGCCACACUGGAACUGAGACACGGUCCAGACUCCUACGGGAGGCAGCAGUGGGGAAUAUUGGACAAUGGGCGCAAGCCUGAUCCAGCCAUACCGCGUGAGUGAAGAAGGCCUUCGGGUUGUAAAGCCCUUUUGUUGGGAAAGAAAAGCAGCAGGUUAAUACCCCGCUGUUCUGACGGUACCCAAAGAAUAAGCACCGGCUAACUUCGUG
rnacentral:rRNA from 1 species